GAUCUACACCUCUCUAUUCGUCGGCAGCGUCAGAUGUGUAUAAGAGACAGGUAAUAGUCCUGUAUGUUAAACGAGAAGACUUCAGAUAUGAUCCAGAGUACCACGGGACACGUGAAACCCUGUGGGAAGCAGGAGGGACCACCCUCCAAGGCUAAAUACUACCUAGUGACCGAUAGCGUAUAGUACCGUGAGGGAAAGGUGAAAAGAACCCCGGGAGGGGAGUGAAAUAGAACCUGAAACCCUGCACUUACAAGCUGUGGAAGCACAUUUCUUGUGUGACCGCGUACUUUUUGUAGAACGGGCCAACGAGUUACGUUAAGUAGCAAGGUUAAGCACUUAAGGUGCGGAGCCGUAGCGAAAGCGAGUUUUAACUGAGCGUUCAGUUACUUGACGUAGACCCGAAACCGGGCGACCUACCCAUGAGCAGGAUGAAGCGAAAGUAAAAUUUCGUGGAGGUCCGAACCCACGAGCGUUGAAAAGCUCGGGGAUGACUUGUGGGUAGCGGUGAAAUUCCAAUCGAGCCCGGAGAUAGCUGGUUCUCCCCGAAAUAGCUUUAGGGCUAGCCUCAAGGUGAGAGAUACGGAGGUAGAGCACUGAAUGUCCUAGGGGGUAUUGCACCUACCGAAGACUAUCAAACUCCGAAUGCCGUCAUCUUAUACUUGGGAGUCAGACUGUGGGUGAUAAGAUUCAUAGUCGAAAGGGCAACAGCCCAGAUCGUCAGCUAAGGUCCCUAAAUGUAAGUUAAGUGGUAAAGGAUGUGGGAUUGCACAGACAACCAGGAUGUUGGCUUAGAAGCAGCCACUCAUUCAAAGAGUGCGUAAUAGCUCACUGGUCGAGUGAUCCUGCGCCGAAGAUUUCCGGGGCUAAAACUUACUACCGAAGCUACGGCAUCAGUAAUGAUGGGUAGGGGAGCUUCCCAUACGGGUUGAAGCAUGACCGUAAGGACAUGUGGACAGUAUGGGAGUGAGAAUGUUGGCAUGAGUAGCGAGAUGUGGGUGAGAAUCCCACAGGCCGUAAACCCAAGGUUUCCAGGGGAAGGUUCGUCCGCCCUGGGUUAGUCGGGACCUAAGCUGAGGCCGAAAGGCGUAGGUGAUGGACAACAGGUUGAUAUUCCUGUACUACCGAUAACCGUUUGAGAGAAGGGAUGACACAGUAGGAUAAGCUAAGCACACUGUUGGUUAUGUGUGCCCAAGCAUUGAGGCAGUCAAAGUAGGCAAAUCCGCUUUGAUAAUGCUGGGAUGUGAUGGGGAGCGAAAUUUAGUAGCGAAGUAGCUGAUUUCACACUGUCAAGAAAAGUCUCUAUCGAGGUUAAAGGUACCCGUACCGCAAACCGACACAGGUGGGUGAGGAGAGUAUCCUAAGGCCAGCGAGAGAACUGUUGUUAAGGAACUCGGCAAAAUGACCCCGUAACUUAGGGAUAAGGGGUGCCACCAUCAGGUGGCCGCAGAGAAUAGGCCCAAGCGACUGUUUACCAAAAACAUAGGUUUCUGCUAAGUCGCAAGACGAUGUAUAGGAGCUGACGCCUGCCCGGUGCUGGAAGGUUAAGGGGAUCUGUUAGAGCAAUCGAAGCAGUGAACUUAAGCCCCAGUAAACGGCGGCCGUAACUAUAACGGUCCUAAGGUAGCGAAAUUCCUUGUCGGGUAAGUUCCGACCCGCACGAAAGGCGUAACGAUUUGGGCACUGUCUCAACAACAGACUCGGUGAAAUUGUAAUUCCGGUGAAGAUGCCGGAUACCUGCGACAGGACGGAAAGACCCCAUGGAGCUUUACUGUAGCUUGACAUUGGGUCUUGGUACUACAUGUACAGGAUAGGUGGGAGGCUUUGAAACCAGGACGCCAGUUUUGGCGGAGCCAUCCUUGGGAUACCACCCUUGUAGUACUGGGACUCUAACCAUAGGCCAUGAAUCUGGUCUUGGGACACUGUCAGG
rnacentral:rRNA from 1 species